GGUAAAAAUCGAGUUGAAUGAAUCGCCACAGCCCCAACGUAUAUCGCGCAGUGUUGACCAAGACCAAGUCAAGCAGGAAUUCUGGCAUGGUAUGUGGCUGCACGAAGGAUUCCGGAAAAGAAAAACAACAACAUGGCUAAUAGGAUGUUGCUGCCCAGGGAGUCCUGGCGAAGAGGUUUACUCAUUCCAGAAGCAAGAAUUGUAUCAUUGUAAGGCGAAUGGAAAUAAACUGACAUCGACUGAGA